AUGGCCUCGGCGACUCCGGCAGGCGGCGAUGGCCUGGGCGAUGCGAGCGGCGGCGACCUCCCCCGCUUCGAUGGCAGUGGCGGCUACUCCAGCUCGGAGUACAGUAGCGCGGAGGAAGAUUUUGCGGAGCCGGCGUUGUCGAUGGAGCAGAGGCUGCGGAUGGCGCGAAUUUGGGUGGACAACCCUAGCACCGCCCAUCACUGGACUCAUGGCUUCGGUGGUGUUCUUUUGUAUGAUGACAUUUUGGAUGUUAGGUUCUUUUUUGAUGCUUCAGAAAUGUUAGAGCUGAAGCUCUGCAGUUCAGAUGUAACAUACCUGAAUAUGAUUGCAGUGAUGGAAACCCAAGGAUUUAGUGAAUAUGAUCUGCUGUUUCACAUUGAGAAUCCAGAUUUAGGGGAGAAAGGAUUGGAGAUGGUAGAGAGUAAUGCUGAGUUGCAACUAGUAAAGAGGCAGGUUGAGGAGUGUAAGGUUUUAAAUUUGCUAGUGAGGGCAUGUCCACCUCCUUGCAGCAAGUUUCAGAGGCAAGAAUUAUCCACUGUUGUGUAUGAAGAGCCUGUGUUAUAUGAUCUCAGUGAGCCACCCAUCUAUGCUGUUGAUGAAGAAGGAGUUGCCUUUGAAAGUCAGAGUAGCAGCUGCAGUUUAGUAGCUCAUGGUGAAGAUGACAGUGAUGUAAACCCUUUUUAUAUGGGUGAUGCUGAUGACAUAGAGAUGGAUGAGGGAAAGAAACAGAGAGAGUAUGAUGAAGUAGAAGAGGAAGAAACAGAUGAUGAAGAAUCUGAGGAGGAAGAAAUGGUGCAUUACUCUGGUGACACAGAGGUUGAGGAACCUUUUGAAAUGGAUGAAGAUGACAAGGUUGUUUCACAGGAUGAAGAAACUGUAAUUGUACAUGAAGAGAAGAAGAAGAAGAAACAGAAGCUUCCAGUUAGGAAAGGGCCUACAACAAGGACACAUUCAAGUGUAGUUCAAGAGGAGGAACCUGAUUUCCAACCUUCAUCUGAUGAAGAAGAGAAAGGAUUGUUGAAGGAGGCUGAUGAUGAUGGUUAUGAGCCAUUGGCAUUUGUGCUGCCAAAGAAAAGGAAGAGCAGGGCAAAGCAGAGGCCUCCUAGAAAAUGGUACAAUGAGAAAAUGGAGGCACCACAUGAGCAAUUAUGUCUACAGAUGUGUUUCAAGGAUCAACAUCAAUUCAGAGAGGCUUUGUUGAACUUACACAUCACUCAAGGCAGAAACUUCAAAUAUCAUAGGAACUCAGAUCAAAGAAUAAUUGUAGAAUGCAACCAAAAACAUUGCAACUUCUUUAUGGUGGCAGCAGUUAUAAAAGGUGAAACUACUUUUGUAAUUAAGAAGAUGAGAAUUAAGCACACUUGCCCUAUUAGUACAGAGACAACAAGGGUAAGUGCCAAGUGGCUUGCACAGAAGUAUGAGUCACUGUUCAGAUCUGAUCUAACAACUGUCAUUCAGACUUUGAUUGAUGCCUGCAUGGAGAAGUAUGGUGUGGAUGUGCCCAAGUCAAUGGCAUAUAGGGCAAAGAACCUAGCUAUUGAUGCUGUGCUAGGAGACCACAAGAAGCAAUACCCUAGGUUGAAAGACUAUACUCAGACAGUGAUGGAUACAAACCCUGGGAGUAGAGUAGUAGUCACUACUGUAACUCCAACACCCACUGAAAAAAUCCCCCAUCCAGGUCCAAGAUUCCAUGCUAUGUUCUAUUGCAUCAAUGGAGCAAGGGAGGGGUUUCUCAAGGGGUGCAGACCAUUCAUUGGGGGGGAAGAUCUGAAAAAGUGUAUGGAUAAUGCUGCCUAUGCAUAUAGUGAACACAAAUUUAACAUUGCAAUGAAUGACCUUAGAGCUGAGUGUGAGCAAGCUUGGGAGUGGCUUUGUCAAAUUCCCAAGAAAACAUGGGCAAGGCAUGCAUUUGACACAAACUGCAAGACUGACCUUGUAGUUAACAAUUUAUCUGAGGUGUUCAACAAGUAUGUCCUAGAUGUUAGGAAGAAACCAAUUAGGACAAUGUGUGAUGGAAUAAAGGAUAAGCAGAUGGUGAGGUGGCAUAGGAAUAGGGAGAGUGGAAAGAAAGCUAGAUGGGACAUAACACCCCAUUAUAGUGAGAAGCUAGAGGUUGAGAAGGAGAGGGCCAAAUAUUGCAAACCAAUUCAAGAUGGUGUGGACUUGUGGCAAGUUACAAGUGGGCAGCAAACCCAUGCUGUUAACUUGCAAAUGCACACAUGUGGGUGCAGAAAAUGGGACCUAAGUGGCAUCCCAUGUAACCAUGCCAUCUCAGCAAUAAACAAGGCAAAAAGAAAACCAGAGGAUUAUGUCAGCAAGUUCUUCAAGAAAGAAAUUUAUCUGGAAGCUUAUGAACCAAUGAUCUAUCCAGUUCCUGGUGAGCAUGACUGGACAAGGACCCCUGGUCCAGACAUUGACCCACCUGCAUUUAAAGUGAAGAGAGGAAGAAAGAAAGAGAAGAGGAUCAAGGGGAAAUUUGAAGUUCCAAAGCCUAAGGAGACAUCAAGAUGGGGACUAUAA
rnacentral:rRNA from 1 species